AUAAAACCCAGGGGGUUCUGAGACACCAUCUGAGGGGAAUCUGCAUGCUUUUCUCCGGCUGUAGUAUUUCAGUUAGGCUGGGGUUCUUUUGCCUUGUACUUGAAGUACCUUAAGGUGCUGCUGUUAUGGCUGAGCCUUGCUUGAGUGGUGCCUAGAAACUCCACCUCAGAUAGCUGACUGCUCAGGAAGAAAUUUAUGGAAACGGAAGGCCUUGGGUAUUAUCCUUCCUUUUUCUUUUCUCCAAACUGGGUUAGGGACAUGUUCUUGGCCUUCAUCCCUCACAAACAUUUCACUCACUUUGUGGACUCCUGAUGAGUAUAUUUUCAUUUCAAAGGAAAGAAAUAUUCUUAAAGUUUUAAUCUUAAAGCACCUGUGGCGGAUUCAUUUUGAUAUUUGGCAAAACUAUUACAAUUAUGUAAAGUUUAAAAAUAAAAUCAAUCAAUGCAAAAAAAAAUAAAAAAUAAAAAAAACUAAAAAAAACUCUAUGUACUAUUCAAAAAAAAAAGCACAAAAAAUAAGCUAUAGAGUUUUGGUCAGUCAGUUGACUUGCUCAAACUCAUGUCCAUUGAGUCGGUGAUGUCAUCCAGCUGUCUCAUCCUCUGUCGUCCCCCUCUCCUCCUGCCUUCAAUCUUUCCCAGCAUCAGGGUCUUUUUCAGAGUCAGUUCUUCGCAUCAGGUGACCAAACUAUUGGAGCUUCAGCUUCAGCAUCAGUACUUCCAAUGAAUAUUCAGGACUGAUUUCCUUUAGGACUGACUGGUUUGAUCUCCUUGUAGUCCAAGGGACUCUCAAGAGUCUUCAACACCACAGUUCAAAAGAUUCAAUUCUUUGGUGCUCAGCUCUCUUUAUGGUCCAACUUCACAUACAUACGUUACCACUGGAAAAACCAUAGCUUUGACUAGAUGGCAUUUGUCAGCAAAGUAAUGUCUCAGCUUUUGAAUAUGCUGUCUAGGUUGGUCAUAGCUUUUCUUCCAAGGAGCAAGCAUCUUUUAAUUUCAUGGCUGCAGUUAGCAUCUGUAGUGAUUUUGGAGCCCAAGAAAAUAGUCUGUCAUUGUUUCUAUUGUUUCCCCAUCUAUUUGCCAUGAAGUGAUGGGACUGGAUGCCAUGAUCUUUGUUUUUUGAAUGUUGAGUUUUAAGCCAGCUUUUUCACUCUCCUUUCACUUUCGUCACAACACUCUUUAGUCCUCUUCGCUUUCUGCCAUAAGGUGGUGUCAUCUGUAUAUCAGGUAAUUGAUAUUUCUCCUGGCAAUCUUGAUUCCAGCUUGUGCUUCAUCCAGCCCAGCAUUUUGCAUGAGGUACUCUGCAUAUAAGUUAAAUAAGCAGGGUGACAGUAUACAGUCUUGACAUAUUCCUUUCCCAAUUUGGAACCAGUCCAUUGUUCCACGUCUGAUUUGUUGCUUCUUGACCUGCAUACAAAUUUCUCAGUAGUCAGGUAAUGUAGUCUGGUACUCCCAUCUCUUGAAUUUUCCAGUUUGUUGUGAUCCACCCAAAGGCUUUGUUUUUCUGGAACUCUCUUGCUUUUUCAAUGAUCCAAUGGACGCUGGGAAUUUGAUCUUUGGUUCCUCUGCCUUUUCUAAACCCAGUUUGAACAUCUGGAAGUUCUCGGUUCACGUUCUGUUGAAGUCUCACUUGGAGAAUUUUGAGCAUUACUUUGCUAACGUGUGAGAUGAGUCAGUUUUGUUGGUAGAAUUGCACAAAUAAUUCUUCUCUGAACUCUUACAG
ensembl:lncRNA